rnacentral:rRNA from 1 species
AUUGAACGCUGGCAGCAGGCCUAACACAUGCAAGUCGAGCGGAUGAGUGGAGCUUGCUCCAUGAUUCAGCGGCGGACGGGUGAGUAAUGCCUAGGAAUCUGCCUAUUAGUGGGGGACAACGUUUCGAAAGGAACGCUAAUACCGCAUACGUCCUACGGGAGAAAGCAGGGGACCUUCGGGCCUUGCGCUAAUAGAUGAGCCUAGGUCGGAUUAGCUAGUUGGUGAGGUAAUGGCUCACCAAGGCGACGAUCCGUAACUGGUCUGAGAGGAUGAUCAGUCACACUGGAACUGAGACACGGUCCAGACUCCUACGGGAGGCAGCAGUGGGGAAUAUUGGACAAUGGGCGAAAGCCUGAUCCAGCCAUGCCGCGUGUGUGAAGAAGGUCUUCGGAUUGUAAAGCACUUUAAGUUGGGAGGAAGGGCAGUAAGUUAAUACCUUGCUGUUUUGACGUUACCGACAGAAUAAGCACCGGCUAACUCUGUGCCAGCCGCCGCAGUAAUAC